ensembl:misc_RNA 7SK 7SK RNA
GGAUGUGAUGGCCAUGUGGCCGUGACAUCUGUCACCUCACGAUCACCGAGGUUGAUUCGGCGGCUCCGGCUGGCUGGGGUGGGGUGGCUCCCUCCUCCCUCACUCCUCAGUGCGUGUGCCUCCCGAAGCUGCAUGCUCUGUUGGAAGGGGGUGACCUUCCCAGAUGGAGGGGGACCGGUCUUGGGAUGAGGGUUUACGGGGAGCGACGCUCCCCCCGCCAGAACUUCCAAAGCUCUCAGUGAUGAGCACCGUGUUUUCAAGGCUCAUCCACGUCACAGCGUGUAUAGACCCUACUCCGUUCACUCCUG